UACGUAGGGUGCAAGCGUUAAUCGGAAUUACUGGGCGUAAAGCGUGCGCAGGCGGUUAUGCAAGACAGAUGUGAAAUCCCCGGGCUUAACCUGGGAACCGCAUUUGUGACUGCAUAGCGUGGAGUACGGCAGAGGGGGAUGGAAUUCCGCGUGUAGCAGUGAAAUGCGUAGAUAUGCGGAGGAACACCGAUGGCGAAGGCAGUCCCCUGGGCCUGUACUGACGCUCGAUGACACGAAAGCGUGGGGAGCAAACAGG
rnacentral:rRNA from 1 species